GCCAUUCACUUCGGUGAAGAAGCAACUGGAAGUGGUUCCAAGAAAAGCCUCUAAGCUUCAGUUUAACAAGACCGUACCGCAAACCGACACAGGUGGGCGAGAUGAGUAUUCUAAGGCGCUUGAGAGAACUCGGGAGAAGGAACUCGGCAAAUUGGUACCGUAACUUCGGGAUAAGGUACGCCCCUGUAGCUUGACUGGCCUGCGCCAGGAGGGUGAAGGGGUUGCAAUAAACUGGUGGCUGCGACUGUUUAAUAAAAACACAGCACUCUGCAAACACGAAAGUGGACGUAUAGGGUGUGACGCCUGCCCGGUGCCGGAAGAUUAAAUGAUGGGGUGCAAGCUCUUGAUUGAAGUCCCGGUAAACGGCGGCCGUAACUAUAACGGUCCUAAGGUAGCGAAAUUCCUUGUCGGGUAAGUUCCGACCUGCACGAAUGGCGUAACGAUGGCCACACUGUCUCCUCCCGAGACUCAGCGAAGUUGAAGUGUUUGUGAUGAUGCAAUCUCCCCGCGGCUAGACGGAAAGACCCCAUGAACCUUUACUGUAGCUUUGCAUUGGACUUUGAACCGAUCUGUGUAGGAUAGGUGGGAGGCUAUGAAGCGUGGACGCCAGUCUGCGUGGAGCCGUCCUUGAAAUACCACCCUGGUUUGUUUGAGGUUCUAACCUUGGUCCGUUAUCCGGACUGGGGACAGUGCAUGGUAGGCAGUUUGACUGGGGCGGUCUCCUCCCAAAGUGUAACGGAGGAGUACGAAGGUACGCUAGGUACGGUCGGAAAUCGUGCUGAUAGUGCAAUGGCAUAAGCGUGCUUAACUGCGAGACCGACAAGUCGAGCAGGUGCGAAAGCAGGUCAUAGUGAUCCGGUGGUUCUGUAUGGAAGGGCCAUCGCUCAACGGAUAAAAGGUACUCUGGGGAUAACAGGCUGAUACCGCCCAAGAGUUCAUAUCGACGGCGGUGUUUGGCACCUCGAUGUCGGCUCAUCUCAUCCUGGGGCUGUAGCCGGUCCCAAGGGUAUGGCUGUUCGCCAUUUAAAGAGGUACGUGAGCUGGGUUUAAAACGUCGUGAGACAGUUUGGUCCCUAUCUGCCGUGGGCGCUGGAUAUUUGAAGGGGGCUGCUCCUAGUACGAGAGGACCGGAGUGGACGAACCUCUGGUGUACCGGUUGUCACGCCAGUGGCAUCGCCGGGUAGCUAUGUUCGGAAGAGAUAACCGCUGAAAGCAUCUAAGCGGGAAACUCGCCUUAAGAUGAGAUAUCCCCGGGGCUUCGAGCCCCUUGAAGGGUCGUUCAAGACCAGGACGUUGAUAGGUCAGGUGUGGAAGCGCAGUAAUGCGUUAAGCUAACUGAUACUAAUUGCCCGUAAGGCUUGAUCCU
rnacentral:rRNA from 1 species